GCCUCUUUGGCGCAAUAGGCUAGCGCGUUUGGCUUUUAACCGAAUGGUUGGUGGUUUGAGCCCACCCAGGGGCG